AUAUUGGACAAUGGGCGNAAGCCUGAUCCAGCCAUGCCGCGUGUGUGAAGAAGGUCUUCGGAUUGUAAAGCACUUUAAGCUGGGAGGAAGGGCAGUAAAUUAAUACUUUGCUGUUUUGACGUUACCGACAGAAUAAGCACCGGCUAACUCCGUGCCAGCAGCCGCGGUAAUACGGAGGGUGCAAGCGUUAAUCGGAAUUACUGGGCGUAAAGCGCGCGUAGGUGGUUCGUUAAGUCGGAUGUGAAAUCCCCGGGCUCAACCUGGGAACUGCAUUCGAAACUGACGAGCUAGAGUAUGGUAGAGGGGGGUGGAAUUUCCUGUGUAGCGGUGAAAAUGCGUAGAUAUCNGAAGGAACACC
rnacentral:rRNA from 1 species